UAAAAGAUUUAUUAAUUAUUUUAUUAUUCCCGAAUUUAGAAGAGCUAAUUUUUUAUAUAUUUUAUUGUUGAAUAAAUAUUUAAAAUAUGAAAUUAGUAAUGAAAUGUUAUUCGUUUCUUAAUUUAUCUGGUUUUUUUAGAAAUAAAUUUAAUUUAGUUAACUUUUUUCAUGAAUUUUAAAUUAUUAAUUUUGUGUGCGGGUUAGGUAAUUGCUUUAGGGAUGAGCUUUGAGCAAGAUUAUUAAAAAGAUAUGGUUUUGUUUAAAUUAAAGUAGGAUUAGAAGUUUCCAUUUUUUAUAAUGUUAUAAUUAUUUUUAUUCAAAUUUUUAUUUAUAUUUCUUUUAAGUUUUUUAUAAAAAUAAAUUAAUUAAUUGUUUUUUAUUUUUAAUAAUGAUAGAAUUAGUAUAUUUCAAGUGUAAAAUUAUUUUUUGGGUUAAGGCCACCCAAAGGAAUUCGGCAAAAAAUUUUCUGCCUGUUUAUUAAAAACAUGGCCUUUUGAUUUUUAUUUAAGGUCUGACCUGCCCACUGAGGGGUUAAAUGGCUGCGGUAUUUU
rnacentral:rRNA from 1 species